AAACAAAAAAAAGAGAAAUGUGGAAUAAAACAUGAAUGGUCCGAGUAUGUUUUUGUAUUAACAUGCAUAAUGCAUCAAGUGUCUCGUUGGACUUUUUAUCUCUAAGGAAUAUAUGUUCCCCUAACCCCAUCCGGGGUAUCUGAUCUAUAUCUUCUUUUAGAGACAUAAAAGAGAUGACCCAAUUUGGAAGCAUCCUCCUUUUCUCAUUU
rnacentral:lncRNA from 1 species